GGAGACGUCCGAUAGUGGUUAUUCGAGCGGGUUGCUAACCCGCGACUCGAAAGAGUCUCGUGAGUUCGAAUCUCACCGUCUCCGCCA
rnacentral:tRNA from 1 species